UNGCUGUCCUAUCAGAAGCUCCAGCAGU
rnacentral:piRNA from 1 species